rnacentral:rRNA from 1 species
UGGGGAAUAUUGCACAAUGGGCGCAAGCCUGAUGCAGCCAUGCCGCGUGUAUGAAGAAGGCCUUCGGGUUGUAAAGUACUUUCAGCGGGGAGGAAGGGAGUAAAGUUAAUACCUUUGCUCAUUGACGUUACCCGCAGAAGAAGCACCGGCUAACUCCGUGCCAGCAGCCGCGGUAAUACGGAGGGUGCAAGCGUUAAUCGGAAUUACUGGGCGUAAAGCGCACGCAGGCGGUUUGGUAAGUCAGAUGUGAAAUCCCCGGGCUCAACCUGGGAACUGCAUCUGAUACUGGCAAGCUUGAGUCUCGUAGGAGGGGGUAGAAUUCCAGGUGUAGCGGUGAAAUGCGUAGGGAUAUGGAGGAAUACCGGUGGCGAAGGCGGCCCCCUGGACGAAGACUGACGCUCAGGUGCGAAAGCGUGGGGAGCAAACAGG